CGAGCCGGCCGGGCGGCCGCGUCGGGCCACACCGGCCCGCCGAGGAAGGUCCGGGCUCCACAGGGCAGGGUGGUCGGUAACGCCGACCCGGGGCGACCCGCGGGACAGUGCCACAGAAAGCAAACCGCCUCCCCCACCGGGAGGUAAGGGUGAAAGGGUGGUGUAAGAGACCACCAGCGCCCACGGUGACGUGGGCGGCUCGGUAAACCCCACCCGGAGCAAGGUCAAGAAGGGACGGCCCGCGAGGACCGUCCCGCGCGCGACGUUCGAGGGCGGCCCGCCCGAGCCGCGCGGGUAGACCGCUUGAGGCCGCCGGCAACGACGGCCCUAGAUGGAUGGCCGCCCCCCACCAGGGGACAGAACCCGGCCUACAGGCCGACUCGUCCG
rnacentral:RNase_P_RNA from 1 species